AAGUCGUAACAAGGUUUCCGUAGGUGAACCUGCGGAAGGAUCAUUAACACGUAUCCAACGUUAAACCCCCCGUGCACACAGCGACCUGCUCCCCUCAAUUUCGGUCUUUUGGCAAUCCCUGGUAAAUCAUCGCCGAACAGUUUUGAUUCAAGGACAUCCAAAGGGCCGGGGUAGGGUAUUAAAGUAGUAGUCCAUGCAAAGCAACCUGGUUUCUUUGAAGCAGAAAGUGUGAUGGCGUGAGCCGGAGAACGGACCGAGUGGUAGUUCAAAGGUGCCUUCUGUCGCGCACUGUGGAAAGGAAGACGCUUUACGAAUCACUGUCCAACACGGUCAGUGACAUAUUCACCACCACAGUCGCAGACGAGGUAGGGAUACGUCCCACCAAAUAAAUACUUGAACAACUGUUGACAAUGGAUAUCUUGGUUCUC
rnacentral:misc_RNA from 1 species